rnacentral:rRNA from 1 species
UACGAAGGGGCUAGCGUUGCUCGGAAUCACUGGGCGUAAAGCGCACGUAGGCGGACAUUUAAGUCAGGGGUGAAAUCCCAGAGCUCAACUCUGGAACUGCCUUUGAUACUGGCGAUCUUGAGUUCGGGAGAGGUGAGUGGAACUGCGAGUGUAGAGGUGAAAUUCGUAGAUAUUCGCAAGAACACCAGUGGCGAAGGCGGCUCACUGGCCCGAUACUGACGCUGAGGUGCGAAAGCGUGGGGAGCAAACAGG